UACGUAGGUGGCGAGCGUUGUCCGGAUUUAUUGGGCGUAAAGAGCCCGCAGGCGGUUUGGCAAGUUUUAGGUGAAAUCUCCCGGCUUAACUGGGAGGGUGCCUAGAAAACUGCCAGACUAGAGGCAGGGAGAGGGAUGUGGAAUUCCCGGUGUAGUAGUGAAAUGCGUAGAUAUCGGGAGGAACACCAGUGGCGAAGGCGGCAUCCUGGCCCUGUCCUGACGCUCAGGGGCGAAAGCGUGGGGAGCAAACCGGAUUAGAUACCCGGGUAGUCCACGCCGUAAACGAUGAGUGCUAGGUGUAGGGGGUAUCGACCCCCUCUGUGCCGAAGCUAACGCGAUAAGCACUCCGCCUGGGGACUACGGCCGCAAGGCUA
rnacentral:rRNA from 1 species